AUGCAAAUGGGCCAGCAGCCAUGGCUAAAAACCAGCCUGGUCAACUGGACGGAUAAGGGAGAGAGCAACCAGGCGCAAACCCAGCCACGUCAUUCUCAAUCCCCAUCCCGUGACCGACACAGGCGGAGACGCCCACGGCCGGUCGGCCGCUUCACCGGCGGCGAGAUGAGCUCCCGCCGUGCUCGUGCUCGUCGGGAACCUCCAGAAGGAGGGUGCCGGGCGCGAUUCUGUUUGAAGCGCCGUUCGCGAGCCCGAGCGCCGCCGGACUCCAACGUGCCAGCGCGGUCGGAGGGGCUGCUCGAUGGCUGGCUCGCCAGCGGGACGCCGAGCGCCAAGAGGCGGCGGCGAACCACCGGGCGCGGAGAAGACGAGGAGUGGCAGGGGAGCCGCGGCCCGUGGAGGACGGCAUACGCGGGUAUCCCGGCGGCACGAAGGCGAGCGCGACUGGUGGCGACCUCGACGACCGCGAGGGUCGGAGAUAGCAGCGGCGCGGCCUUGUGCGCGUCGUCGUCAAGGACGACGAUGUCGUUCCCCGAAGGCGGAACUGCUUCAACAGGGGCGACCGGGUCGACACCGCUGCGUAGCCGCGUCGUGGCGCGCGCCAGCCAACGCAUCUGGGCGGCCUUUGCAGCGCUGCCCAUAGCCGCCGCAAAGGACAUGGCUGCGGGAAGUGCUGCCGCCGCUGCGAGGCGUGUCUCCGCGCGCCGGAUGCCAGAAGCCACGGGCGCGAGCGCCCCGGUCUGUGAAGAGCGGCUGUACGCCGAGCGGUGGCAGGCGUGGUCGCGUGCACCGCAUGCGUUGAAGCCGUGCAGGCAGACAUUGCUGAGAUGGACAUGGUUGCCCAGGACAGUUCCGUUGUACUAUUGCCAUAAAAAAAGGACCGAGAGACUCGCCGUUCCUGUCCCAUGA
rnacentral:rRNA from 1 species